CGGGGCACCCUGGCGGCGAGCGGCGGACGGGUGAGGAAUUCGUCGGAAUCUGCCUUUUUGUGGGGGAUAACGUAGGGAAACUUACGCUAAUACCGCAUACGUCCUACGGGAGAAAGUGGGGGACCGCAAGGCCUCACGCAGAAAGAUGAGCCGACGACCGAUUAGCUAGUUGGUGGGGUAAAGGCCCACCAAGGCGACGAUCGGUAGCUGGUCUGAGAGGAUGAUCAGCCACACUGGGACUGAGACACGGCCCAGACUCCUACGGGAGGCAGCAGUGGUCAAGCUUU
rnacentral:rRNA from 1 species